rnacentral:rRNA from 1 species
GUGCGAAGGUAGCGUAAUCACCUGUUUUCUAAUAAAAGACCUGUAUGAAAGGCACCACGAGAGUAAAACUGUCUCCUUUUUCCAGUCAGUGAAACUAAUCUCCCCGUGAAAAAGCGGGAAUUCACAUGCAAGACGAGAAGACCCUUUGGAGCUUAAGAAAUAAUAAUACCUGCUACCUUUUUUUUCCCCCCCCCACCUAACAGCACCUUACUUAUGAGUCUUCGGUUGGGGCAACCAUGGGGUAAAAAUGAACCUCCAAGAUGAACGGAACCCUCCUAAACAAAAAGCCACAACUUUAUGUAUCAACAAACUGACAUCAUUAGACCCAAUAUCUUGAUUAACGAACCAAGUUACCCAAGGGAUAACAGCGCAAUCCACUUCCCGACUCAAUAUCGACAAGUGGGCUUACGACCUCGAUGUUGGAUCAAGGUCCCCCAC